UACAGAGGGUGCGAGCGUUGUCCGGAAUCACUGGGCUUAAAGGGCGCGUAGGCGGGCCGUCAAGUCCGGGGUGAAAUCCUCCAGCCCAACCGGAGAAGCGACUCGGAGACUGGCGGCCUCGAGGAGGGUAGGGGCAAGCGGAACUAUGGGUGGAGCGGUGAAAUGCAUUGAUAUCCAUAGGAACUCCGGUGGCGAAGGCGGCUUGCUGGACCCUUUCUGACGCUGAGGCGCGAAAGCCAGGGGAGCGAACGGG
rnacentral:rRNA from 1 species